rnacentral:lncRNA from 1 species
AAACAGCUCUUGUGAUCUGGUACAAACCAGCUCUCGCACAUCACUGCUUAUAUCCUCCUUAUAUGGAUCCUAAAAUAAGCAGGAGACCCAGAAAAUUUGGAAAGAAUGGAGGUUUGCUGACCUAGUAAGGACACUGCCAAGAAAAUAAUUUCCACUGAACAUUCUCAUUUUCCUCCUCCGAACAGCAUAGUCAUGGCCAAAGUCAUUUUAGCUUUGCCUUUUAUCAGCUUAAGAAAUUGUAGAUCAGCUUUAGGCUUAUGUGUUCAACACUCAGGAACAUGCCAUGUUUCUUCAGUGGCAAAGGCAAAACCAAGGUAAUUACAUCUACCAGGGGUCCCCACCUAAUAGACCUAUGUAUAUUUGAGUGAUGAUUCUUUUUGAUUUCUGUUUCUCUAUACUGGAAUAAAGAAUCUCUGAAAUUUGUAAUCUAUAAAAUUCUUGAACUAAAAUCUUUUUUUUUUUUUUUUUUUUUUUUACCAAACAGACGAGUUGUUUCUGAUCCUGAGGGCAUAUGUGCUUCCAAAAUGGCUUCCCAUCUCUUGUUAAGCCAUCGU